GCCGGACGUGGUGGCACAUACCUGUAGUCCCAGCUACUUGGGAGGCAGAGGUGGGAGGAUUGCUUGAGCCUGGGAGGUGGAGAUUGCAGUCAGCCAAGAUCACACCACUGCACCCCGCACCCGCCAACACCNNNNNNNNNNGGUGUUGGCGGGUGCGGGGUGCAGUGGUGUGAUCUUGGCUGACUGCAAUCUCCACCUCCCAGGCUCAAGCAAUCCUCCCACCUCUG
rfam:Gorilla gorilla gorilla genomic chromosome, chr20, whole genome shotgun sequence